rnacentral:misc_RNA from 1 species
AAAUGCGAUAAGUAAUAUGAAUUGCAGAAUUCAGUGAAUCAUCGAAUCUUUGAACGCACCUUGCGCUCCUUGGUAUUCCUUGGAGCAUGCCUGUUUGAGUAUCAUGAAAUCUUCAAAGUAAAUCUUUUGUUAACUCAAUUGGUUUCUACUUUGGUAUUGGAGGUCUUUGCAGCUUCACACCUGCUCCUCUUUGUUCAUUAGCUGGAUCUCAGUGUUAUGCUUGGUUCCACUCGGCGUGAUAAGUUAUCUAUCGCUGAGGACACUGUAAAAGGUGGCCAAGGUAAAUGCAGAUGAACCGCUUCUAAUAGUCCAUUGACUUGGACAAUACUUUUAUGAUCUGAUCUCAAAUCAGGUAGGACUACCCGCUGAACUUAAGC